rnacentral:rRNA from 1 species
AGGUUUACAACCCGAAGGCCGUUCAUCCCUUCACGCGGCGAUCGCUGCAUCAGGCUUUCGCCCAUUGUGCAAUAUUCCCCACAGACUGCCUCCCGUAGGAGUCUGGGCCGUGUCUCAGUUCCCAGAUGUGGCCGGUCGCCCUCUCAGGCCGGCUACCCGUCGUCGCCUUGGUAGGCCAUCACCCCACCAACAAGCUGAUAGGCCGCGGGCUCAUCCUUCACCGCCGGAGCUUUUAACCCCGUCCCAUGCGGGACAGAGUGUUAUCCGGUAUUAGACCCCGUUUCCAGGGCUUGUCCCAGAGUGAAGGGCAGAUUGCCCACGUGUUACUCACCCGUUCGCCACUAAUCCACCCCGAAGGGCUUCAUCGUUCGACUUGCAUGUGUUAAGCACGCCGCCAGCGUUCGUCCUGAGCCAGGAUCAAACUCUA